rnacentral:lncRNA from 1 species
AUGUAUUAGAGUCUAAUUGGUUCAUGAGAUAUGGGUAUGAGAUCUGGGUAUUGGUUCAUGGGAUUUGGGUAUUGGUUUAUGGGAUUUGGGUAUUGGUUCAUGGGAUAUGGGUAUUAGGUUGGAUGUAUGGUUCAUGGGAUUUGGUCCAUGAGAUUUGGUGUAUGGUUUAUGGGGUUUGGUCAUGAGGUUUAGUUGUGGUUCAUGGGAUUUGGUCCAUGAGGUUUGGUUUUAGUUCGUGGGAUUUGGUCCAUGAGUUUUGGUUUUGGUUCAUGGGAUUUGGUCCAUGAGAUUUGGUUUUGGUUCAUGGGAUUUGGUCCAUGAGGUUUGGUUUUGGUUCAUGGGAUUUGGUCCAUGAGGUUUGGUUUUGGUUCAUGGGAUUUGGUCCAUGAGGUUUGGUUUUGGUUCAUGGGAUUUGGUCCAUGAGGUUUGGUUUUGGUUCAUGGGAUUUGGUCCAUGAGGUUUGGUUUUGGUUCAUGGGAUUUGGUCCAUGAGGUUUGGUUUUGGUUCAUGGGAUUUGGUCCAUGAGGUUUGGUUUUGGUUCAUGGGAUUUGGUCCAUGAGGUUUGGUUUUGGUUCAUGGGAUUUGGUCCAUGAGGUUUGGUUUUGGUUCAUGGGAUUUGGUCCAUGAGGUUUGGUUUUGGUUCAUGGGAUUUGGUCCAUGAGGUUUGGUUUUGGUUCAUGGGAUUUGGUCCAUGAGGUUUGGUUUUGGUUCAUGGGAUUUGGUCCAUGAGGUUUGGUUUUGGUUCAUGGGAUUUGGUCCAUGAGGUUUGGUUUUGGUUCAUGGGAUUUGGUCCAUGAGAUUUGGUUUUGGUUCAUGGGAUUUGGUCCAUGAGAUUUGGGUUUUUGGGUUCGGGUUUCAGUUUGGAUUUUGGGUUUGGGUUUGUUUGGGUUUUGGGUUUAUUUGGGUUUGAGUUUGGGCUUAUUUGUGGGUUUAUUUGUGGACUAGGUUUGGUUUGGGUUUGGGUUUAUUUGGGUUCGAGUUUGGGUUUAUUUGUGGACUUGAUUUGGAUUGGGUUUGGGUUUAUUUGGGUUCAAGUUUGGGUUUAUUUGUGGACUUGAUUUGGAUUGGGUUUGGGUUAGGUUUGGGUUUAUUUGUAGAUUUGGUUUGGGUUAGGUUUGGGUUUGAUUUGAUUUAGGUUUGUAGGUGAACUUGACUCGGAUUUGGAUUCGUAUGUGAACUUGAUUUUCUUUUCAAUUCUAUUUCGGGUUCGAGGCAAUCCUCUUUUGAUUU